rnacentral:lncRNA from 10 species
GUUCAUAGAACCAGUUAGGCUAUACACAUAUAUAUACAAGGAUUGUUUUUUAAGUGCCACUUCUUCCCUUUUUUUUUCACCUUCCCUUCCCACCAUCCUGAAGGGGUCUGUCCUGCACUCCAGAAUUAUACUUUAAACUCCCCCACUUGAUAUUCUUCCUGAAGUUCCCCAAACUUAAUAUUUAUAACACUGACCUCAUUAUCUUCUCCCCCAAACUUGCUUCUCUUCCUGUUUUUUUUUUUUUUUUUUUUUUUUGUGCUAGAAUACGGAGUCAUCCCUGCAUCCUUCCUCUGCUCUCACAUCUAUUCAGUCACUAAGUGCUUUCCAUUCCCCCUCCAAGCCCUUCUCAAUUCUGUCCAUACCUCUCCAUUCUCACUGCCACUGUCCCAGUUCAGGCUGCCAUGACAGUUUCAUAACAGGCUCCCUGCUUGCAGUCUCUCUUUUAUGUGUUUUAUCCUCCAGGAUAUAGCUGAGUUAUUUUUGUAAAACAUAGGUUGGAUCACAUUGCUCUCCACUGCUGCCAUGAUGGCCAAACCCUGGCUCUGACCUGUCAUUCUGGCCGCAUCUCCACACUACUUGCUGGUCCUUGGACAGGUCAUCCACUUACACACUGCUGAGCCAUUGCUCAUGCUAGCUGCUUAUGCUCUAGCUUGCUGGAUACUCCUUUCACCUUUUUCCACUGGUGAAUUCAAUCUUCAAGUCCCAGCUUAGGGACCACUUCUUUUAAGAGCCCCACCUUCUUGUCAGUCAUAAUUACCACUUCAAAGAAGAUUCCAUGUAACUGAUAAAUGAAUUCAGUGAUACUCUUUCUCAUCAGAGCUCUUACGGUAUUUUGUUUAAAGCCCCAUUAGAGGGCUUUAUUGUACUAUAUUUAGGUGUGUUUGAUAUGAUCUGUCUCCCUAUGAGAAUGUGAACUCCAUAAUACUAAUAGCUAACAUAUUGAGCAGUGAAUACACUAUGCUAAGUCAGGCAUGGUGCUAACCACUUUAUAUGCAGUAACCUCCAACAGCCCUGUAAGGCAGAUAAUAUUACUACUGUAAUAGCAGUAGUAAUAUUUCACAGAUAAAGAAACUGAAUGCAGGGUGGUGAAUUCACUUGUGCAAGGUUAUAUAACUAGAAAAUGGUAGAACUAGGAUUCAAACCAAGAAGUUCACAUCCUUAAGCCCUACUGUAGGCUACCUCUGUGGUGAUUAGAGGCCUUAUCUUAUUCAUCUUUGUAUUUCCAGUCUCUGGUAUUGUGUUGCUAUAUGAUAAAUGCUUUUCAUAUAGUAUAACAGAAGAAAAAUGAUUACGAAGCAUACUAGCUAUUUGCUAAAAAACUGAUAGACCAUGAUGAAAGAAUUAGUCGUGUUCCUCAAUGCAAGGGCUAUACAUGGGCUUUCCUGAAUCUGUACCAUUUUUUUUAAGAAGUAAGAAAGAUGCAAGGUAUAAAGAGAAAGUUAUUCCAGAAGUAGAUGCAGAUAUAGGUCCUGACUGGGACUAACAUGGCUCUCCAGUGUUGCCGUAUCCUCAGAAAGACCCAGCAGUCUAAGUCCUUGUUCUCACAUGGCAGAGUGAUUUUGAGAAAAACAUUUCUAAGCCGAGCGCAUUGGCUCAUGCCUGUAAUCCCAGAACUUUGGGAAGCCAAGGCAGGCAGAUCACUUGAGGACAGGAGUUUGAGACCAGCCUGGCCAACAUAGGGAAGUCCUGUAUCCAUGAAAAAUACAAAAAAUUAGCUGGGCGUGGUGGUGCGUGCCUAUAAUCCCAGCUACUCCAGAGGCUGAGGCAGGAGAAUCACUUGAACCUGGGAGGUAGAGGUUGCAGUGAGCUGAGAUUGAGCCACUGCACUUCAGCCUGGGUGACAGAGCGAAACUCUGUCUCUAAAAUAAAAUAAAAGAAAAAGAAAAACAUUUUUAGUCAGGGAAGAUUGGAACUCUUUUCAGCAAGUAUGCCAACCAAAGAGUUAAAAGUAUUGUGUGACUGGGCAUUAAUAUAAGCCCUUGAGCCUCUAUAUGUAAGAGACAGCAAUCAGACACUGAGCCACUUGCAUAGCCUUUUCGGGUUGUAGUUAAUUUAUUGAAAAAGCAGGCACAGUCACACCUCUAAUCAUAGAUAAGACAUACAGUUAAUGAUGAGAUAAGCCUUAAAGCCCAUGUAUGCCAGUUAUUUAUUUGCAGAUGGGAAUCUUCUCAACAUUUGUAGAAACAAUUGAAUGGCUUUAGAGUACUAGCAAACAUAUUACCUCUCUUUUAGCAAGAUGUACACUACAAGUAAUACUUUCACUAUGAUUUUUCUCAAAGUGGAUUUGGCUAAGAAUGUUUAAAAAUAUCUUGAAAAUUAAUUUAUUUCCUCAUGUUCCUUCUGUGAGGUACUUUGUUGUGAGACUGUGGUAAGUCACAAUAAAAUUAAUUUCAAGAACUAAAAUGGAUUAUUUCAGUUAUAUGAUUGAGUUGACAUUAAUGUGAACUGUUGAACAUAAAUUGACAUUGUAAGCAAACACCUAUGGGAAAUUAUUGAAACGCUGUAAGGUCAAGGAUACAUUUUGAUUGAGGUUUUUGUAUUACCAUCUGGUGAAACCCAAAACUUAUUAUUGCAGGCAUCAUAUUACAGUGUUAUUACUUUGUCAUUAGGUUUUGUAAUUAUGUUGAUAAAGCAAUUCAAGAACAUGUCUGUAGAAUAGCAUUACACUUUUAUUGAGUUUUCAUUACAAUUGUAAUAAUGUUAAUGAAAGUAUAUGAAGGCCCAUAAUGAUCCAGUUAACACUGAGUAUUAUAAUAACAAAAGAAUAUGAAUAGAAUUCUUUGGGGAUUUCAUCAUACCUGAGAUAUGAUGCAAUGGAUAC